GGGGGAUAACAUUCCGAAAGGAGUGCUAAUACCGCAUGACAUCCCGUGUUUGGAUACACGGAGAUCAAAGCCGGGGAUCGCAAGACCUGGCACUUGAAGAGGGGCCCGCGUCCGAUUAGCUAGUUGGCGAGGUAAUGGCUCACCAAGGCUCCGAUCGGUAUCCGGCCUGAGAGGGCGGACGGACACACUGGAACUGAGACACGGUCCAGACUCCUACGGGAGGCAGCAGUGGGGAAUUGUUCACAAUGGGCGCAAGCCUGAUGACGCAACGCCGCGUGGAGGAUGAAGAUCUUCGGGUCGUAAACUCCUUUCGACCGAGAUGAAUUUCCGCCGACCUAACACGUCGGCGGGGUGACAGUAUCGAGGGAAGAAGCCCCGGCUAACUCUGUGCCAGCAGCCGCGGUAAUACAGGGGGGGCAAGCGUUGUUCGGAAUUACUGGGCGUAAAGGGUUUGUAGGUGGCUUGCUAAGUCAGACGUGAAAUCCCUCAGCUUAACUGGGGAACUGCGUCUGAUACUGGCGAGCUUGAGUGCAGGAGAGGAACGCGGAAUUCCAGGUGUAGCGGUGAAAUGCGUAGAUAUCUGGAGGAACACCGGUGGCGAAGGCGGCGUUCUGGACUGCAACUG
rnacentral:rRNA from 1 species